UACGUAGGUGGCAAGCGUUGUCCGGAGUUAUUGGGCGUAAAGCGCGCGCAGGCGGUGCGGUAAGUCUCUGGUGAAAGCGCUCGGCUUAACUGGGCGAGGGCCGGGGAGACUGCCACGCUGGAGGGGGGCAGAGGCGAGUGGAAUUCCGGGUGUAGUGGUGAAAUGCGUAGAGAUCCGGAGGAACACCAGUGGCGAAGGCGGCUCGCUGGGCUUUACCUGACGCUGAGGCGCGAAAGCGUGGGGAGCGAACCGG
rnacentral:rRNA from 1 species